rnacentral:sRNA from 1 species
AAAGGAGGAAAAAAAU